rnacentral:rRNA from 1 species
GAUGAACGCUGGCGGCGUGCCUAAUACAUGCAAGUCGAGCGAACAGACGAGGAGCUUGCUCCUCUGACGUUAGCGGCGGACGGGUGAGUAACACGUGGAUAACCUACCUAUAAGACUGGGAUAACUUCGGGAAACCGGAGCUAAUACCGGAUAAUAUAUUGAACCGCAUGGUUCAAUAGUGAAAGACGGUUUUGCUGUCACUUAUAGAUGGAUCCGCGCCGCAUUAGCUAGUUGGUAAGGUAACGGCUUACCAAGGCAACGAUGCGUAGCCGACCUGAGAGGGUGAUCGGCCACACUGGAGCUGAGACGCGGUCCAGACUCCUACGGGAGGCAGCAGUAGGGAAUCUUCCGCAAUGGGCGAAAGCCUGACGGAGCAACGCCGCGUGAGUGAUGAAGGUCUUCGGAUCGUAAAACUCUGUUAUUAGGGAAGAACAAAUGUGUAAGUAACUAUGCACGUCUUGACGGUACCUAAUCAGAAAGCCACGGCUAACUACGUG